GCACUUGGUAAUUUAAUCUCAAUAAAAAUAAAAUGAAAAUGAGUCCUAAUCUUGCAUCAUAGCCUCAAAAUUGGCUUGUAUUGUAUAUCAAAUGCACAUCCCAAGAAGGGCUGUACAAUUCAAAAUUUUCUAUAACAACUAGCGAGUUUAACAGCAGAAUGCCGCUUUUGCCUGAAUGAGGGUGAAAAGAAUGAAGGUAACAUUUAAAACUACAAAAAUU
rnacentral:misc_RNA from 1 species